UUGAUGUUAUUUCAGACUUGAAGUUUAGCUGUCUACCUGGCACAAAUACCAAGAUUACAAAUGACAUUAUAAAUGGAGCCCCCAGAGAUAUACAAGUGAUACUCGGUACUAAAAUACAAAGUUCUGACAGUCAAGAAAAGUAAAGACACAGAUUGCAACGUACAGAUUACAGUUUACAAAUUACAGUGUACAGAUUGCAGUCAAGUCACAGGUAUUUUUCAGGUAACCAACAGACAGUUUAACCAAGACCCAGCUUAGUGUAGUCAUGGUAACUGGGAGACAGUUUAUCAAGGGAUAGGUCUUCAAUUACCUACUUGUAGAGGAUGUUGUACCGCCUGUUUUGCUUGUAAAGGACUUUAAAGAUGAAAGAUGAUGGAGUCAGGGGGUUAGAUAUCAGCAUUACAAAACAUGUGUAUGCAAGUACUAGUCCAGAGCUCCUCAGUCCCAUUGCAAUUUUACUCCUCACUAGAAAUGGAGAUGGAGAUGUUAACCUGCUGAUUCCCUCUCAGGAUAUGGAGUUACUAUCUCAGCAUAAAGUUCACAUGAUCUCUAGUCCAUCUACUGCUAAUUCCGGCCAGCCGUUACAUGAAAAUGUCCAGCUACUAGUUCUUGUGACUAAUUUGACAAAUAAAUCAGAGGUGUAAUCAAAGUUUACUGAAUAUGGAUAGACAGGUAUUCUGUCAUAGUGUUCGGAAAUGGUGCUGCAGUACAAACCAAAACCGUGCCACAGUCUGUUUUCAGCAAAAUGGACAAAUUCUGUUGUUGUGCAACUUGUGGAAAGCUAUUUUGGGAACUUUGAUACAUUUUGAACAUGUUUGUGAACUGUUCUCAUUCUUACAUGUUCUAGGAAUGCAGUCCAAUGGUCCAACAGUUUAUGAGAAGUUGAAUGAGAAUUUCACUGAUAAAUGAAAGACAAUUUAUAGGGAUAGAACUUGAAUACUUAAAUGUAACAUUUUACGUUGCAAGAGUUUGUGUGAUUAUUCUUUGUAUAUAAUACAAUACCAUUUAUGUUAUACAUCAUUUUAAAGACUAUUAAGGGUGGUAUUAGAACAUUUUCAAAUUUUCAAAAUAAUUCACUAGUUUGAUUUUGAAUUUAUUGUCAAAAAAUUAUUUUGAUCAGAAUGUUUUCCAUUCAUUUUGUACAUCAGAAAGUCUUAAAAUUUCAAGUUUUUAUUUAUUUGUUGACAGGCUAUUGUAAAUUUUUCACAAUUUCUUUGCUAACUUUAAAGCAACAUUUCCUUUUAAAAAUUCUGUGUAAUUUCAGGGAAAAACGCAGUUUCUACUUUUCAUUUGUUUGAAUUUGGAGAAAAAUACAAAAGUUAAUUUUCAGUUAAAUUUACUUUUUCAAAGGUAUCUUAAAAUUCCGAAGAUUCAUACCACCUUCUGUAGAAAGAUGUAAAGCUUUUACCAGGAUAUUGAUAAAUGAAGCUGAAAUUACAGAAAUACCUUAUGGCUUUAAUGGAUCAAGUACUACCAGAAAUUAAAUUUUAUUAUUUUUAUGCCCCCGAAGGGAGGCAUAUUAGUUUUCAACUGUCCGUCCGUUCGUUCGUCACGUUAACUUUUUGCAUGAAGGCCAACGUUAACUUUUGCAUGAAGGCACUUUACUCACUAACGACUCCAUCCAGGACCUUCAAACUUCACAUGCUAAUAGUACUUACUGAAUUCACGACCCCUACUGACUUUAGGGUCACCACGUCAAAGGAUAAGGUCACAGUGGCCAAUGUAAACUUUUUGCAUUAAGGCACUUUACCCGCGAACCACUACACCCAGGACCUUCAAACUUCACAUGCUGAUAGUACUUACUGAAUUCACGACCCCUACUGACUUUGGGGUCCCCGUGUCAAAGGUCAAGGUCACAGGGGCCAAUGUUAACUUUUUGCAUGAAGGCACUUUACCCACGAACCACUGCACCCAGAACCUUUAAACUUCACAUGCUGAUAAUACUUAAUUAUUGAGUACACAACCCCUACUGACUUUGGGGUCACCAGGUCAAAGGUCAAGGUCACCAGGUCAAAGGUCAAGGCUCUGUGGGGGCAUUUGUCAGCAUUAGUGACAGCUCUUGUUGUAAAAUAAAAUAGAAACUUGAUUUUAUUUUAUUUUUAUUUUCAUGUUUUUCUCUACACUAUUUCUAGUUGAGACUUUGUUUCCCUCCAGAUGUACACUUCUUUCAAGUUGAAAGAGCUCUUAAACAUGUCACCAAAGUUGGUGUAUAACAAACUUGUAUUGAUUGUAGUUUGAGCUGCAGUCUGCCCACUUAGCUCAAUAGAAACAGCUUAGAUCUAUGGAUCACAGGGCUGUGAGUUGGAUCCCAGGACAAGGAGUACAUUCUCCGUGACGAUUUGAUAAAAGACGUUUUGUUGGAAAACAUUUGUCCUCCACCACUGAUUCAUGUGGGGAAGUUGGCAGUUACUGUGGAGAACAGGUUUGUUUGAGCACUGGUUAGGUUAACAGCUGCCAUUACAUAACUGAAAUACUGAUAAUCACGAAACUUGAUAGGGAGGUUGAUCAUUACCAGCAGAUAACCCCUAUUGAUUUUGAGAUCACUUGGUCAAAAGUCAAGGUCACAGUGAUCCGGGACAGUUAAACCCUUUCCGGACAAUAACUUGAGAACGCUUGGGCCUAGAAUCACAAAACUUGAUAGGGAGGUUGAUCAUGACCAGCAGACGACCCCUAUUGAUUUUGAGAUCAGUAAGUCAAAGGUCAAGGUCACUGAUCCGGAACAGCUAAACCGUUUCCGGCUAAAAACAGAUUACUGCAUGCAUCAAGAGGGGGCAUUUUGUGUUCUACGAGCUCUUGUAAAAUUUUAGGUACCAUCUCAAUAAAGCAUUAUAUGUUUUGAAAUAAUUGGAAGUUACCUUAAAUUUGGUAUGUAGCUGUUGGCAUUUAGUAUGAAAUAUUUGGCAUUUAGCAAUGGGCCUUAGGAAGAAUGGAUGGUCCUCCACCGCUGAUUUAUGUGGAGAAGUUGGCAGUUACUUGCGGAGAACAGGUUUGUACUGGUACAGAAUCCAGGAACACUGGUUAGGUUAACUGCCUGCUGUUACAUAACUGAAUUACUGUUGAAAAACUGCAUUAAACCCAAAACAAACAAAGAUCAAACUGUGCAUAAAAAUGUUCUCUAGUCAUUUUACUGAACCUUGUAAUCUAUGGGCAUAAAAAUACUCUCUGGUGAUUUCCCAUGAUCAUCUACAUCCAUUGUCAUUCUUCAUUUACCUCUGCUUCUUGCAAGGAAGUUGUCAGUUACUUAUGGAGAACAAGAUUGCUGAAUACAAAAGCUAGUUGUUAAAACAGAACUGAAACAGGGUAAGGCAUGUCAUAUGAAAGAACCAUGUGUCUGUAUAAGGUUACACUAGGGAUCUGUCAUGUGAUGCAUUGUAUAUAUAUAUUGUAUGUGGGGGAUGGGAGGCACUAAUUUCCAGAGGAAGAUUUCCCAGUAAGGGAAUAUAUCGUGUUACGUAUGUAAGUAACGAGCUCUGAAAAGCUCUUGCUCAGAGGAUGAGGACUUAAUGCACAAUAAACUUAAUAAAAUGA